AUGAACGCUAGCGGCAGGCCUAACACAUGCCAGUCGAGGGGGAAGUUACUUUCGGGUGACUGAGACCGGCGUACGGGUGCGUAACGCGUAUACAAUCUGCCUUUCACUGGGGGAUAGCCCGAAGAAAUUUGGAUUAAUACCCCAUAGUAUAUAGGGACGGCAUCGUUUUUAUAUUAAAGCUUAGGUGGUGAAAGAUGAGUAUGCGUUCUAUUAGCUAGUUGGAGAGGUAACGGCUCCCCAAGGCGAUGAUAGAUAGGGGUUCUGAGAGGGAUGUCCCCCACACUGGUACUGAGAUACGGACCAGACUCCUACGGGAGGCAGCAGUGAGGAAUAUUGGACAAUGGUCGGAAGACUGAUCCAGCCAUGCCGCGUGCAGGAUGAAGGUCUUAUGGAUUGUAAACUGCUUUUGUAAGGGAAGAAUAAGGGCUACGCGUAGUUUGAUGACGGUACCUUACGAAUAAGCAUCGGCUAACUCCGUG
rnacentral:rRNA from 1 species